AGAAAGAAUGCCAGAUGCAUUUGGUGCCCCCAAAACAUGAUGAUCCAAGGGAAGUAAGGGAAUUGCCAAGUGGAAAAGAUCUGUGAUUUGUGACUAAAGUUAGUGCAUAAAAGGAUACAGAGAACAAUUUAGUGUAUAUACAUGCACUUUAUUUAAUUAAUGUUUAAGUGUUAUCCAUGUUUGUACAUGAUUUUGGUGGGUGCAUAUUUUUGUUCAUUAGAAAGCUCAAAUAAAGGACAAAACC
rnacentral:misc_RNA from 1 species